GGGUCACGUGACGCGGCCGGAAGUCAGCCUCCCGAGGACCAAGAGUGGUCAGAUUCUGCCAGCAGACGUGAAUGCCUGGAUGUUGGGGCCUGUGCCACACAGUAUUGCACGAGUCAAAGGACCAUCCGAAAAUGGAGGUAAAGUAGGACCCACACCGCAGAGCCGUAGAAAGUUUUUGGCGAGAUGAUAUAUGAUUAGUAUGGUGCCAGGCACAGCUAACGAGACCUGGACGGGACCUCCCGCUCACCCCCAUCUGAGCCUCUGGGGAAACAUCUGGACCGCGGGGGCUGAUCGAUGAUGAAGUAUUUACUUAGCUCUACGCCCACAGUCCGGCUGGAGAGACACCCUUGGGUUCAAGGCGAAAGGCUUCCAGGAAAGGUGGCUGGGCCUCAAGGUCAUCAGUCAUCAGGAAUUGCCCACCUUGUCUCUGGGGACAGUCUGGAGCUGUCUCAUGGCAAGUUCUCCUUCCUCAUUCCUGGGGAGAGUGCCCACUUCCUUUUACUCCUUUAAGCAGCAGCCCACGUCAUUACUGUUAUCACUGUUAUUAUUUUUGCCACCAUCAAUUGAGUGCUCACUGUGUUCGGGGCCCUAAGCUAACUGUGUUACAUGCAUUUCCUCAUUGAGUCCUUGCUAUAACUCUC